CCAAUUUCUCUCUCUUGCAGCCCCUCGGUCCCACUACCUGGCCGACAGCGACCCCCUCAUCUCUAAAUCUGCCUCCCUGCCUGCCUACAGAAGAAACGGGCUGCACAGGACACCCAGCGCAGACCUAUUCCACUACGACAGCAUGAACGCCGUCAACUGGGGCAUGCGAGAGUACAAGAUCUACCCUUAUGAGCUGCUCCUGGUGACCACAAGAGGGAGAAACCGACUGCCGAAGGAUGUGGACCGGACGCGUUUAGAGGUAGGUAUAGAAAACUGGGCAGGAGCCUCUGGGUUUGCAGUGAUUGCAGAAAUUGACUGGUCUCACCCAGCUUGGGAGGGACAGACAGAAUAAAUGAUAUAGGGGUCACACAGCUGGUUGAAAAAGCAGAGACUCCUACCUGGUUUCCUUAGCCCAGGCUGUUCCUUGCUGUUCUAUGCAGCCUGUUGAUUCAGUUAGCAUCUGUGGU